CGACGUCGACGUGGAACUUUCUCUAGUCGAAGCAAUUACCAAGGGAGAUCGUCCACAGCCUCUGCCAAUUGAAGCGACGAAGCACCACCACCUUCGAAGUCCUCCGUGACCAUGGCCGACCGGCAAAUCCUUCUCCGGAUUCCACUCCCGCCAUCUUCACCCGCCAAUCGGAAGAAAUCGAGCCGAAACCUCACAAAAACUAAUCGGAAAAAAAAAAAAAUCGAAUCGCCGCCGCCCAUUAGGAGGUCGAGAAAGAACGUCCGAACGGAAGCCGAACCGGAGAAGCCAAAGCGGUUCGUCGGAACUCGAAGCUGAAACGGAAGCAGCCCGGCGACCCCCUGCUUCGUCGGUCUCCAUUGCUAGAGAGGAUGCUCCGCCAAGCAGCCCGAAAACCGCAGCCAACGGCUCUGCCGGAACGAACCGCGAGGAGCGUACGGACAGCGACGGAGGCAGUUGAAGAGCGAG
rnacentral:lncRNA from 1 species